AGACCCGAAACCCGGUGAUCUAGCCAUGGGCAGGUUGAAGGUUGGGUAACACUAACUGGAGGACCGAACCGACUAAUGUUGAAAAAUUAGCGGAUGACCUGUGGCUGGGGGUGAAAGGCCAAUCAAACCGGGAGAUAGCUGGUUCUCCCCGAAAGCUAUUUAGGUAGCGCCUCGUGAAUUCAUCUCCGGGGGUAGAGCACUGUUUCGGCUAGGGGGCCAUCCCGGCUUACCAACCCGAUGCAAACUGCGAAUACCGGAGAAUGUUAUCACGGGAGACACACGGCGGGUGCUAACGUCCGUCGUGAAGAGGGAAACAACCCAGACCGCCAGCUAAGGUCCCAAAGUCAUGGUUAAGUGGGAAACGAUGUGGGAAGGCCCAGACAGCCAGGAUGUUGGCUUAGAAGCAGCCAUCAUUUAAAGAAAGCGUAAUAGCUCACUGGUCGAGUCGGCCUGCGCGGAAGAUGUAACGGGGCUAAACCAUGCACCGAAGCUGCGGCAGCGACGUUUAUGCGUUGUUGGGUAGGGGAGCGUUCUGUAAGCCUGCGAAGGUGGCCUGUGAGGGUUGCUGGAGGUAUCAGAAGUGCGAAUGCUGACAUAAGUAACGAUAAAGCGGGUGAAAAGCCCGCUCGCCGGAAGACCAAGGGUUCCUGUCCAACGUUAAUCGGGGCAGGGUGAGUCGACCCCUAAGGCGAGGCCGAAAGGCGUAGUCGAUGGGAAACGGGU
rnacentral:rRNA from 1 species